rnacentral:rRNA from 1 species
UACGGAGGGUGCAAGCGUUAUCCGGAUUCACUGGGGUUAAAGGGUGCGUAGGUGGGCAGGUAAGUCUGUGGUGAAAUCUUUGGGCUUAACCCGAAAACUGCCAUUGAUACUAUUUGUCUUGAAUAUUGUGGAGGUCAGCGGAAUAUGUCAUGUAGCGGUGAAAUGCUUAGAUAUGACAUAGAACACCAAUUGCGAAGGCAGCUGGCUACGCAAAUAUUGACACUGAUGCACGAAAGCGUGGGGAUCAAACAGG